rnacentral:rRNA from 1 species
AGAGUUUGAUCCUGGCUCAGGAUGAACGCUAGCGGCAGGCUUAACACAUGCAAGUCGAGGGGCAUCGGGAGGGAAGCUUGCUUCCUUGCCGGCGACCGGCGCACGGGUGAGUAACACGUAUGCAACCUGCCCUCUUCAGGGGGACAACCUUCCGAAAGGGAGGCUAAUCCCGCGUAUAUCGGUUUCGGGCAUCCGAGAUCGAGGAAAGAUUCAUCGGAAGAGGAUGGGCAUGCGGCGCAUUAGCUUGACGGCGGGGUAACGGCCCACCGUGGCGACGAUGCGUAGGGGUUCUGAGAGGAAGGUCCCCCACACUGGUACUGAGACACGGACCAGACUCCUACGGGAGGCAGCAGUGAGGAAUAUUGGUCAAUGGGAGAGAUCCUGAACCAGCCAAGCCGCGUGAGGGAAGACGGCCCUAUGGGUUGUAAACCUCUUUUGUCGGAGAACAAAACCCGGGACGCGUCCCGGACUGCGUGUAUCCGAAGAAAAAGCAUCGGCUAACUCCGUG